rnacentral:rRNA from 1 species
AGAGUUUGAUCCUGGCUCAGGAUGAACGCUGGCGGCGUGCCUAACACAUGCAAGUCGAGCGAAGCGCUUGAAUUCGAUUCUUCGGAUGAGGAUUCUUGUGACUGAGCGGCGGACGGGUGAGUAACGCGUGGGCAACCUGCCUUACACAGGGGGAUAACAGUUAGAAAUGACUGCUAAUACCGCAUAAGACCGCAGUACCGCAUGGUACAGCGGUAAAAACUCCGGUGGUGUAAGAUGGGCCCGCGUCUGAUUAGGUAGUUGGCGGGGUAACGGCCCACCAAGCCGACGAUCAGUAGCCGACCUGAGAGGGUGACCGGCCACAUUGGGACUGAGACACGGCCCAGACUCCUACGGGAGGCAGCAGUGGGGAAUAUUGCACAAUGGGGGAAACCCUGAUGCAGCGACGCCGCGUGAGCGAUAAAGUAUUUCGGUAUGUAAAGCUCUAUCAGCAGGGAAGAAAAUGACGGUACCUGACUAAGAAGCCCCGGCUAACUACGUG